UUAAGUUCAGCGGGUAGUCCUACCUGAUUUGAGGUCAAGAUUGUCAAUACAGGUAAGGUUUUAGAAAGCAGCAUUAAGCAGACGUCUAGGAUGUAGAUAUUUAUCACACCUGUAGACAGUUCCACCAAGGUACUGCUAAUUAAUUUCAGGGGAGCAGACUCCAAGGGCCCACAACAAUUUUCCCCCCCCAAGUCCAAGCC
rnacentral:misc_RNA from 1 species